rnacentral:tRNA from 1 species
CGGAAUGUAGCGCAGUAGGUAGCGCACCUGGUUUGGGAGCAGGGGGUCGCGGGUUCGAAUCCCGCCAUUCCGA